rnacentral:tRNA from 1 species
GAAAGGGUAGUUCAAUUGGUAGAAUUUUAGUUUGUCAGGCUAAGUGUUGUGGGUUCAAAUCCCAUCUCUUUCG